rnacentral:rRNA from 1 species
CUCCCGCCGGCGACCGGCGCACGGGUGAGUAACACGUAUGCAACCUGCCCCUGUCAGGGGGACAACCCGCCGAAAGGCGGGCUAAACCCGCGUACAUGCCACCGGGGCAUCCCGGAGGCAGGAAAGGCUUCGGCCGGACAGGGAUGGGCAUGCGGCGCAUUAGGCAGUAGGCGGGGUAACGGCCCACCUAACCGACGAUGCGUAGGGGUUCUGAGAGGAAGGUCCCCCACACUGGUACUGAGACACGGACCAGACUCCUACGGGAGGCAGCAG